GACGAACGCUGGCGGCGUGCCUAAUACAUGCAAGUAGAACGCUGAAGAGAGGAGCUUGCCCUUCUUGGAUGAGUUGCGAACGGGUGAGUAACGCGUAGGUAACCUGCCUUGUAGCGGGGGAUAACUAUUGGAAACGAUAGCUAAUACCGCAUAACGAUGGAUGACACAUGUCAUUUAUUUGAAAGGGGCAAUUGUUCCACUACAAGAUGGACCUGCGUUGUAUUAGCUAGUAGGUGAGGUAAUGGCUCACCUAGGCGACGAUACAUAGCCGACCUGAGAGGGUGAUCGGCCACACUGGGACUGAGACACGGCCCAGACUCCUACGGGAGGCAGCAGUAGGGAAUCUUCGGCAAUGGGGGCAACCCUGACCGAGCAACGCCGCGUGAGUGAAGAAGGUUUUCGGAUCGUAAAGCUCUGUUGUAAGUCAAGAACGGGUGUGAGAGUGGAAAGUUCACACUGUGACGGUAGCUUACCAGAAAGGGACGGCUAACUACGUG
rnacentral:rRNA from 1 species